rnacentral:rRNA from 1 species
GAUGAACGCUGGCGGCGUGCUUAACACAUGCAAGUCGAACGAUGAAACCUAGCUUGCUAGGUCGAUUAGUGGCGAACGGGUGAGUAACACGUGACUAACCUGCCCCUUUCUCUGGGAUAACGCUCCGAAAGGAGUGCUAAUACCGGAUACUCACGCCGAGGCACAUGCCUUGGUGUGGAAAGUUUUUCGGAAAGGGAUGGAGUCGCGGCCUAUCAGCUUGUUGGUGAGGUAACGGCUCACCAAGGCGACGACGGGUAGCCGGCCUGAGAGGGCGACCGGCCACACGGGGACAGCGACACGGCCCAGACUCCGACGGGAGGCAGCAGUGGGGAAUAUUGCACAAUGGGCGCAAGCCUGAUGCAGCGACGCCGCGUGAGGGAUGAAGGUCUUCGGAUUGUAAACCUCUUUCAGUAGGGACGAAGCGAAAGUGACGGUACCUAAAGAAGAAGCACCGGCUGACUACGUGCCAGCCGCCGCCGUAA